CCGCAAGGCUAAAACUCAAAUGAAUUGACGGGGACCCGCACAAGCGGUGGAGCAUGUGGUUUAAUUCGAUGCAACGCGAAAAACCUUACCUACACUUGACAUACUUUGAAUUUUUUAGAGAUAAAAAAGUGCCUUCGGGAACGAAGAUACAGGUGCUGCAUGGCUGUCGUCAGCUCGUGUCGUGAGAUGUUGGGUUAAGUCCUAUAACGAGCGCAACCCUUACCCUUAUUUGCCAGCGGUUCGGCCGGGAACUAUAAGGGAACUGCCGGUAAUAAGCCGGAGGAAGGUGGGGACGACGUCAAGUCAUCAUGGCCCUUACGUGUAGGGCUACACACGUGCUACAAUGGGAGAUACAGACGGUUGCGAAAGCGCGAGCUGGAGCUAAUCUGAGAAAGUCUCUCGUAGUCCGAAUUGCAGUCUGGAACUCGACUGCAUGAAGCCGGAAUCGCUAGUAAUCGCGGAUCAGCAUGCCGCGGUGAAUACGUUCUCGGGUCUUGUACACACCGCCCGUCACACCAUGGGAGUGAAUUGCACCAGAAGGAGAUAGCUUAACCCUCGGGAUGGCGUUUACCACGGUGUGGUCCAUGACUGGGGUGAAGUCGUAACAAGGUA
rnacentral:rRNA from 1 species